UACGUAGGGGGGCUAGCGUUGUCCGGAAUCAUUGGGCGUAAAGAGCUCGUAGGCGGCUUGUCGCGUCGUUCGUGAAAAACCUGCAGCUCAACUGCAGGCUUGCGGUCGAUACGGGCAGGCUGGAGUUCGGUAGGGGAGACUGGAAUUCCUGGUGUAGCGGUGAAAUGCGCAGAUAUCAGGAGGAACACCGGUGGCGAAGGCGGGUCUCUGGGCCGAUACUGACGCUGAGGAGCGAAAGCGUGGGGAGCGAACAGG
rnacentral:rRNA from 1 species